CCUGACUGCUAUCGGAUUGAUACUAAGCCAUGCGAGUCAUUGUAGUAAUACAAGGCAGACGGCCCAGUAACGCGUAGUCAACCUACCCUAUGGACGGGGAUAACCUCGGGAAACUGAGAAUAAUACCCGAUAGAACAUUAUGCCUGGAAUGGUUUAUGUUUCAAAUAAUUUAUUGCCGUAGGAUGGGACUGCGGCCUAUCAGUUUGUUGGUGAGGUAAUGGCCCACCAAGACUAUUACAGGUACGGGCUCUGAGAGGAGUAGCCCGGAGAUGGGUACUGAGACACGGACCCAGGCCCUAUGGGGCGCAGCAGGCGAGAAAACUUUGCAAUGUGCGAAAGCACGACAAGGUUAAUCCGAGUGGUUUCUGCUAAAGGAACCUUUUGUCAGUCCUAGAAACACUGAUGAAUAAGGGGUGGGCAAGUUCUGGUGUCAGCCGCCGCGGUAAAACCAGCACCUCAAGUGGUCAGGAUGAUUAUUGGGCCUAAAGCAUCCGUAGCCUGCUUUGUUAGUUUUCGGUUAAAUCCAUACGCUCAACGUAUGGGCUGCCGGGAAUACUGCAAAGCUAGGGAGUGGGAGAGGUAGACGGUACUCGGUAGGAAGGGGUAAAAUCCUUUGAUCUAUUGAUGACCACCUGUGGCGAAGGCGGUCUACCAGAACACGUCCGACGGUGAGGGAUGAAAGCUGGGGGAGCAAACCGGAUUAGAUACCCGGGUAGUCCCAGCUGUAAACUAUGCAAACUCGGUGAUGCAUUGGCUUGAUGCCAAUGCAGUGCUGCAGGGAAGCCGUUAAGUUUGCCGCCUGGGAAGUACGUACGCAAGUAUGAAACUUAAAGGAAUUGGCGGGGGAGCACCACAAGGGGUGAGGCCUGCGGUUC
rnacentral:rRNA from 1 species